GACGAACGCUGGCGGCGUGCUUAACACAUGCAAGUCGAGCGGAAAGGCCCUUCGGGGUACUCGAGCGGCGAACGGGUGAGUAACACGUGAGUAACCUGCCCCCGACUUUGGGAUAACCCUCGGAAACGGGGGCUAAUACCGGAUACGACACAGCUUCGCAUGGGGUCUGUGUGGAAAGUUUUUCGGUUUGGGAUGGGCUCGCGGCCUAUCAGCUUGUUGGUGGGGUGAUGGCCUACCAAGGCGACGACGGGUAGCCGGCCUGAGAGGGCGACCGGCCACACUGGGACUGAGAAACGGCCCAGACGCCUACGGGAGGCAGCAGUGGGGAAUAUUGCACAAUGGGCGGAAGCCGGAUGCAGCGACGCCGGGUGGGGGAUGACGGCCUUCGGGUGGUAAACCUCUUUCAGCAGGGACGAAGCGUAAGGGACGGUACCUGCAGAAGAAGCGCCGGCCAACUACGU
rnacentral:rRNA from 1 species